rnacentral:rRNA from 1 species
UACGAGGGGGGGCGAGCGUUGUUCGGAAUUAUUGGGCGUAAAGGGUGCGUAGGCGGUUUGGUAAGUCUUAUGUGAAAUCUACAGGCUCAACCGUGGAACUGCUGGGUAUACUGGGUGUCUUGGGUCAUCUAGGGGCUGCCGGAACAAAUGGUGGAGCGGUGAAAUGCGUAGAUAUCAAGAGGAACACCUGAGGUGAAGACGGGUUGCUGGGCUGAUACUGACGCUGAGGCGCGAAAGCUAGGGUAGCAAACGGG